AACACUGCCCACUCAACUCUUUGUGAAGCCUUUGUUUGAUAGAUAUCGCAUUUACAGAUGUAGUAACCUGGUAUCUCCAAUUUGUCACCAAUCAUUUAGACAUUAACUUAAGGAGGAACACUGCAUCGUCAUGUAGACAUUAACUUAAGGAGGAACACUACAUCGUCAUGUAGACAUUAACUUAAGGAGGAACACUACAUCGUCAUUUAGACAUUAACUUAAGGAGGAACACUACAUCGUCAUGUAGACAUUAUCUUAAGGAGGAACACUACAUCGUCAUGUAGACAUUAACUUAAGGAGGAACACUACAUCGUCAUAAUGGCUGACUUCCUUUCUGAAAAUAUAGAUAUCAGUAAUACAUGUACACUCCUACUAACGUGUUCGGAACAUAUUCUUUAUCGGUGUUAAGUAGAGCAUAAAAUCAAAGACUAUCAAAUGAAAUAUAAUCUCGCUGCUCCGAGACUCCAACGCGAGCUACCUGAGACCCGGUGAAUUUUCUACCGGAUAUGGAUGUGCUUUAAGGAAUUCCAGUGUUAAUUGUACUUUUUAGGGACUUUAAGUGAUUCACCACCCUUUGAACAAAUGUAUUUUGAGAUCCUCAAAGGAAUCCUAGAUUUGUCAAGAAGCCAUGUUUUAAUUGCUGCCCAUCAAAUAGUACUGUGUCUUGCAUGUGUAAAUUGUAAGUAUUCAAUGUCUUAGUAUAAAUCGUUAGUAUUUUGAAGCAUGAUGUUACAGUUAGUUUAUUAUGUCUCCCCUCUUCCAGGGGGAUCGAGACAUUGUUUUGGUAUUUUCUGUCUGUCCAUCUGUCUGUCACAAAUUCUUGUGAACGCUUCUCCUCCUACCGUAUAUGGCUUAUCCGCUAGACUUGAAACUUUGUACAAUGCUUCAAUGCCAUAUGGAGAUGUGCAUAUUGUUGGGACGGGAGGAUCCAAUUAUUUUCCUAAAAGUUAUAGUGGAUCUAAGAGGGGUGGAAGAUGUUUAAAUAGCUUGUGAAUGCUUCUCCUCUGAUAUGGAUUAUCAGAGUUAGACUUAAACUUUUCACAAUACUUCAAUGCCAUUUGCAGAUUGACAUAUAUUGUAGGGAUAGGAAGAUCCAAUUGUUUUCAUAAAAUCUUAGGGGUGGAGGGUAUAAAAUAAUUUGUGAACACUUCUAUAUGGCUUAUCGGAGUUCAUAAAUGCUUAUAUGCUUCUGCUCAUGCUUUCUCCUCAAUACCAUACAGUACAAUAAGGGGCAGUUUCAUUUGAAGAACUUCCAAUUUGGGGAGCU